rnacentral:lncRNA from 1 species
AAUGGGGAAAUCAUUUCCACAAAACCAUUGACUCAUUUCCAGACUCUUUUUAACAGAGAACUUGGUAGGUCUACUGGGACUCAAUAGUCAUUUCCAGUUCAUUUGGUUCUUUAGUUGUCUGCAGCUGCAGACAUGUGGAUGAAGAGUUACAGCUGAGGGUGAUAUCAUACCAUUUGACUGCUGUGCCAAGCCAGGUGUUUUCUGAUAGCUGCACUGAAAUAUGUCAUCUGCCUGAUCAGCCCCUUAUGCUGAGGUGUCCUGAUCAUUGCUCUGCCCUUCAUCAAUACAGAAGAAGAAAAAUUGCUCUUAAGCUGAGGACAAAAAGACACAGAGGGAGAGCAGAGAGAACUCGGGAUAUUUCAAAAGCAGCAGAAAGGUAGGAUAACAGAAGACUAAUGGGGACUGUUCCUGUCAAAUGUGGACUGUUGGAAGGUACACUAUAUGUUUUCCUAUCUUAACAUACCAAGGCUUUCCUCUUUCAAGGUCGGGUCCUCCUACCUUGCUGGCUGAGGAAAAGGAUAAGAUGUCUCUCUUCCACUG